UUGGAGGGCAAGUCUGGUGCCAGCAGCCGCGGUAAUUCCAGCUCCAAUAGCGUAUAUUAAAGUUGUUGCAGUUAAAAAGCUCGUAGUUGAACUUCGGGGUCUACCCAUUGGUCAGGCUUAAUUGUCUGCACUGGUGAGAUGGAUCUCUACCUUCUGAGGAACUUUCAUGCCAUUUAUUUGGUGUGAUGGGAAAUCAGGACUGUUACUUUGAAAAAAUUAGAGUGUUUAAAGCAGACUAUCGUCUGAAUACAUUAGCAUGGAAUAAUGAAAUAGGACGGACUGAUUCUAUUUCGUUGGUUUCUAGGAUCACCGUAAUGAUUAAUAGGGAUAGUUGGGGGCAUUAGUAUUCAAUUGUCAGAGGUGAAAUUCUUGGAUUUAUUGAAGACUAACUACUGCGAAAGCAUUUGCCGAGGAUGUUUUCAUUAAUCAAGAACGAAAGUUAGGGGAUCGAAGACGAUCAGAUACCGUCGUAGUCCUAACCAUAAACUAUGCCGACUAGGGAUCGGACGAAGUUAAUUUUAUAAUGACGCGUUCGGCGCCUUACGGGAAAC
rnacentral:rRNA from 1 species